rnacentral:rRNA from 1 species
UACAGAGGGGGCAAGCGUUAUUCGGAAUUAUUGGGCGUAAAGGGCGCGUAGGCGGCCUGGCAAGUGGAAGGUGAAAUCCCUCGGCUUAACCGAGGAACUGCCCUCCAAACUGCUUGGCUUGAGUCCGGGAGAGGUGAGUGGAAUUCCCAGUGUAGCGGUGAAAUGCGUAGAGAUCGGGAGGAACACCCGUGGCGAAGGCGGCCAUCUGGACCAGCACUGACGCUGAGGCACGAAAGCGUGGGGAGCAAACAGG